rnacentral:tRNA from 1 species
UGCGAGGUCAUUUAACUGGAUAGGAUCACCGGCUCUGACCCGGUUCAUGCAGGUUCGAAUCCUGCCCUCGCAGCCA